GACCUUUCAAAGCAGCUGCCUCAUUCUGUUCAGAUUCAUGAAACUCUUUUCUCUCUCCCAACUGUCCUUCAAAAUCUUCUUCCUUUUUUUCUUGUCUUCCUUAACUGGCAACUCAACAUUUAUGUAUAUUUUCUCUGUCUCUGCAUUUGCGUAUUGGCUUACGUAGUACCCAUUUGCCCACCUAGAUCGCCUAUAAUCUUGUUUGCUCGCAUCUUCAUCACGUGAAACUCUAAGGCUUCAUACUUGUUCUUUGAUAUUCAAGAGA
rnacentral:misc_RNA from 1 species